rnacentral:lncRNA from 1 species
ACAUAUGAUCUAAUCAUCAAAUCAAUCUACUCUAGAAUCUAUGAUAUGAUAUAUUGCAUAUAAAAUCUGAAAUAAUCAUAUGAUAAAAUUUGUAUGCAUGAAUGUGAGCAGUAGAUCAAAUCUACUUCUAUCUGAGUUCAGAACUCGAUAUCUGAGUGUGGAUUGAUGAUCGCUGCUGCUGAGAGACAUGAUAAAGAUGAUCUUUGCUGGUUGUUAGCAGCCGCAUAUACGUCCAGC